AAGUAAGUCUUUCUUACUCUACACGUAGAAUUUUGUAAGGCUGCCUCACUCUUGAAAGCUUGCAACACCAAUGAGCACUUUUCUCUUUGUAGCUUGUCAAUUCUGGAGAGGAUGUCCUCGUGUUCUACAAUGACAGAGCCUCUUUCCAGACUCUGAUCCAGAUGAUGCGGUCCGAGCGUGACCGGAUGGAUGAGAACAGCCCUCUCAUGUACCACAUCCAUCUGGUGGAACUCUUGGCCGUGUGCACAGAGGGCAAGAAUGUGUACACAGAGAUCAAGUGCAACUCCUUGCUCCCGCUUGAUGACAUCGUUCGUGUGGUCACUCAUGAAGACUGCAUCCCGGAGGUUAAAAUCGCUUACAUUAACUUCCUGAAUCACUGCUAUGUGGACACUGAGGUGGAAAUGAAGGAGAUUUACACAAGCAAUCACAUGUGGAAAUUGUUCGAGAAUUUCCUUGUGGACAUCUGCAGGGUGAGGCGUGUCUGUGUGUGUGUGUGUGUGUGUGUGUGUGUGUGUGUGUGUGUGUGUGUGUGUGUGUGUGUGUGUGCUGUUUGUCACUGGAAGCCUUCACUGUGCAUCUUGGGGAGCCAUAGGCAGACUUUGUUAUGUGUAUUUUUCCUCAAUGUGUGUCCACCUCAUUAGUUACUUUUCUCAAGUGUCCACUGCAAUGAUCAGACCUGACUGACAGGCCUACCUUUUCUG
rnacentral:lncRNA from 1 species